AUUGAACGCUGGCGGCAUGCUUUACACAUGCAAGUCGAACGGCAGCACAAACUUCGGUUUGGUGGCGAGUGGCGAACGGGUGAGUAAUGCAUCGGAACGUGUCCUGAAGUGGGGGAUAACGCAUCGAAAGAUGCGCUAAUACCGCAUAAUCUCUGAGGAGAAAAGUGGGGGAUCGAAAGACCUCAUGCUUUUGGAGCGGCCGAUGUCUGAUUAGCUAGUUGGUGGGGUAAUGGCCUACCAAGGCGACGAUCAGUAGUUGGUCUGAGAGGAUGGCCAGCCACACUGGGACUGAGACACGGCCCAGACUCCUACGGGAGGCAGCAGUGGGGAAUUUUGGACAAUGGGCGCAAGCCUGAUCCAGCAAUGCCGCGUGAGUGAGGAAGGCCUUCGGUUGUAAGACGUCUUUCAGUUGUAGAAGGAAAAAAUUAAGUAGACUAAUAAUACGUAAUUACAUAGACAGUAUCAACAGAAGAAGAC
rnacentral:rRNA from 1 species